UUAAGUUCCUUGGAACAGGACAUCCUAGAGGGUGAGAAUCCCGUACGUGGGCGCCUGCCUUUGCCGUGUAAAGCCCCUUCCACUAGUCCAGUUGUUUGGGAAUGCAGCUCUAAAUGGGAGGUAAAUUUCUUCUAAAGCUAAAUACCGGCCAGAGACCGAUAGCGCACAAGUAGAGUGAUCGAAAGAUGAAAAGUACUUUGGAAAGAGAGUCAAAUAGCACGUGAAAUUGUUGAAAGGGAAGCGCUUGCAGCCAGACUUGCCCGCAGUUGCUCACCUAGGCUCCGGCCUAGAGCAUUCUUCUGCGGGCAGGCCAGCAUCAGUUUGGGCGGUUGGAUAAAGGNCUCUGUCNCGUAUCUCCCUCCGGGGUGACCUUAUAGGGGAGGCGUAAUG
rnacentral:rRNA from 1 species